rnacentral:tRNA from 1 species
AAUGAGAUAAUUUAAGGUCAGAAUAGUGAAUUGUAAAUUCAACAGUGGUUUACCCUCUUAUUA